AGGACGAACGCUGGCGGCGUGCUUAACACAUGCAAGUGGAGCGACGAACCAGGGCUUGCCCUGGGGCAGAGCCGCGAACGGGUGAGUAACACGUGGGUUACCUGCCUCGAUGACCGGGACAACCCGAGGAAACUCGGGCUAAUACCGGAUGUGCCCGCAAGGGGAAAGGAAGCUUCGGCCUCCGCAUCGAGAUGGGCCCGCGGCCCAUUAGCUUGUUGGUGAGGUAACGGCUCACCAAGGCUUCGAUGGGUAGCUGGUCUGAGAGGACGAUCAGCCACACUGGGACUGAGACACGGCCCAGACUCCUACGGGAGGCAGCAGUGGGGAAUCUUGCGCAAUGCGCGAAAGCGUGACGCAGCAACGCCGCGUGGGGGAAGAAGGCUUUCGGGUGUAAACCACUGUCAGGGGUAAGAAAGUUCUGAUCUGCCCCAGAGGAAGGCACGGCUAACUCUGUGCCAGCAGCCGC
rnacentral:rRNA from 1 species